UACGUAGGUGGCAAGCGUUGUCCGGAAUUAUUGGGCGUAAAGCGCGCGCAGGCGGUUUCUUAAGUCUGAUGUGAAAGCCCACGGCUCAACCGUGGAGGGUCAUUGGAAACUGGGGGACUUGAGUGCAGGAGAGAAGAGUGGAAUUCCACGUGUAGCGGUGAAAUGCGUAGAGAUGUGGAGGAACACCAGUGGCGAAGGCGACUCUUUGGCCUGUAACUGACGCUGAGGCGCGAAAGCGUGGGGAGCAAACAGG
rnacentral:rRNA from 1 species